GCACUCCAGCCUGAAUGACAGAGUGAGACAGUCUCAAAAAACAAACAAACAAAACCCAACUUUGGGUCACGCAUCCAUCCUUGACCAAUUAGCUGUAGCUAGGGAAGUGGAGUCCUACGGACACAGCAAACCACCACGAGAAUCAUGGAGAUGAAUAGGGGCAGGAUAAUUUACCAGAGGAAGCCUAGAGUGGAGUGCUGGACAGACCACCAUGUGGAGUUGCCAUCUGAGGACAUUGCUACUUGGAUACCCCCACAGUCCAGCCGAGCUGCCAUCUCUUCAAGGAAGUUUUCCCUGAAGCCCUCAGGUAGACCCGUUUUUCCAUGGCGGCCACAUCAGCAUGCAGCACAUUUAAUUGGAAGUCUCCACAUAUGAGUUGGUUUUCCUUACUUAAAAUAUGCUUAUCAUCCCUUGGAGGUCUGAUGCAUUUUUCUGUCUCUGCAGACCAGCUCCUCCCCCCUCCAAAUCUCAAUGGAAGAAUGCGACAUUCUGGAUUCAGCUACCCAAAGAGGGGUUUUUUCCCCCUCUUUGUCUCUAUUAUACAUUUUAUAGGAAGGAAUUCUGUCCCAGUUAAUUCAAACUGGGACCAGAGGAACAGGGUCCCGCUGCUCAAAAUGGCUGUCACCCGUGGGUAAGGGGAGCAGUCAGAGAGUCAUUGUGACUGGGGUGGCAGUCCCACUCCAAUCUGCCUUGUGGCUUCCUAGCCUGCAACAUACAUCCUCCCAGACAUACAAAAUGUGCCUCUGCCUGAGUCUUCCUGGCAGGGAGUUUGGUACCCCCCAACAUUGGGAGGGGAGCUUACAACACAGGACUAUCUCUUCCCAUAGAUAAUCUCCUCACAAAGCUCCACUCAGGACCACUUAUAUUCUUGAGCACUUGAAAAUAUUGGCUAUUUCCUUCUGACCCCCAUGGUUUCUUUUAAAAAAUUUGCUGUUGUUUGAAUUAUUUUUCUCUACAGGUAUUGACUGCUGCCUCAUGAAGGCUGGUCCUGUCUCUAUAGUGAAUAUUGUGCACCUCAGGGUAGAAUGGAGAGCAGAAGACUUCAAAUCAGGCAGUCUGGGUUCAGACCCCAAUUCUAGUGCUAAAUAGCUACGUGACUUUAGGCCGAUUGUGUGUGACUUCCCUGAGCCCCAGUCUCUUUGCCUGCAAAAUGAGAAAAAUUAUAACAAUGUCAUCGGUUGUUCUGAGGAUUCUGAGAGGAAUUAGUAGGAGAGAGAACUAAGAAGCUGCGGGCCUCUACAGAGCCAUUCAACUGGCAUUUCGGAAGAUGUUGCCCAUCAGAGUCAGACCUUCUUAGCAUCUUCCGGCUGGGCCCAAACUUCCCAAGACCAUUUGGACAAGGUCAUCUCUAUCCCACCAUGGCCUCCUCCCAGAGGAGGAGAAGAAUCAUGCUGUUACAGCAGAACCGAAGAUUUGGGCAAGGGAGCUAAUGAUUAUGUUCUGCGUCAGGUCAGAGAUGGGCUGGGAAAGCCACUCCAAAGCCAAGACAAGCAGUUUCCUGGAAAAAGAAGGCUGCGCGGAGCCCAGAGUGGCCUGGAUCCUGCCUCAUUUCCUGGACCAGCUCCUUAGGUGGUUACUGGAUUGCCAAUAAAGCAGAGCUUAUUAAAGUCAACGAGCUCAGGCUUCAUCGCCGCCAUGGUAUCCAAGCACCAGUCUGUCUGGGAUUUCAUUUGCCAGAUGGACAAAGGAGAGGUUGUUCCAAUACAUAUCCUGAGUGGUGGGGGUGGGGAGAGAAGGGGAAGAAUGCUCUCUAGAGAAUUCUCUUUGUCCUCUGAAGUAAAUAGAGAUCAUGUCUUCCCCAGCCACACUCAGUGAUCUGAAUCUCUUGGACUGUGGAUUUUUCCUUUACCUGCUGUGAAGCCUUGAAAAGUAUGAAUUAGCUUGAUAAUGAUCCUCUAAAGAUGUUCAAGAGUUAAAGACGUGUUUAAGUUCUUCAGGCAAUCCAAUAUGACUACGGGUUUCCAAAAAUUUGAAGGAAACUGAAAAUCAUAGUUCCCAAACCAGAUAUUUUCCGGUGUCCAGAUGUUCACUGGCAUGCAAACCAAAUGUCUGGAUUAUGAGCUCCUUUUUUCAUUUCUUUUUAUCAGCUUACAUCCAGAUGUUGGAUCCAACUGGUCAGAGGCCUGGGGCAGAGACAGAAAUCAAAUCUAGGGUGUUCAUCUAGAGUCUCCUGCUCCUCCAUUCCUGCUUCCUCCUCACGCUGCCCCCACAUCCUCCCCAACUCACCUUCAUGCUACAUCUCGGCAAAUACAGCUCAUAUCCAGGCACGGUGCAGCCCUUGACAGCUGGGUCCGCAAAGGCAGAUCGGGUAUAUCUUUAAAGAAAAGUUAUCUUAACCAUUGAGAAGCCUUCCUUCCUCAGAGGAGAGCACCUCCCCAGCAGACCUCCGAGGAGACCAAGGGCAGGACAGGAAGGGUGAAAGGAAGUUUCAGGACUGCAGGAAAUAAGAGCUUGGAGGUCAAGGGAGAGAUCAGAUAAAACAUGAAUCUGAUCAGCAUCCUAGUGGUCUAGAGUGGAGACAAUCUGCGGAGUCAACCUCAGUAAGGACACACAUAGAGAAGAACCAAAGCCUCUAAAGACGAAGCUGAGAAGUGUACGGUCGUAGAAGACUCGUGUCUGUUAUUCUUAAAAGCUCAAGGAGAUGUUCUGCCAAUUGAAUGGAAACUGUCCAUAGUGGGGAGCAGAGAGCCUCAUCUUUUCUGGAACUGAACAUCCAUCCUUAAGGCCAGAUUUCUCCCAUCACCAACUUUAACUCCUGCCCUAGCCCUCUCUCUUCCUUUUCAAAACCCUCUCCACCCAGGAAGGGAGAUUCUGGAGCCAAGACUGUACCAGCCACACCUCCCCAGAGUUGUUAAGGAAGGAACUCGAAGCCAGGGGUGGUCUUCUGGCAAGCACCCCCACUACCAGUAGCAGGACAGAUGUGUUUCUAAUGGACUACACUAUCCCCGGAGGUCACAUGAUUCAGGCUGCCAAGGGUACCUGCCCUUGGGAAAUCAACUCCCGAAGAUAAAUUGGGAUUGGGUCCUGAGAAGAUCCAUGGAAGCCCAGAGGACCCUGCCUCUCUCUGUUGCUUCAUGCUGUAGAGGCAGUACUGGGGAGGGCCUGCCCCACAUCCGGCAGGGCAGCUGGAACCAUGUGUUUGAUGACACUCUGCUCCCUCAAUGUGGAGCCUCAUCCUCAUCUCACAGUCUAGCAGGCCUCUGGUGGGUUAGGCUUGUCUCACCCAGUGUGUGAGUUUUUUUGGAAGUGACCUGAUUUUGGAGUUUCCCUCCAAGCCUUUCUCAGGUACAUGCUUUCUCUUUUAUUCUGUCUUCUUUUUUUGAUCUUCUUAAAUCUGAUUUUCUCCUUUUUCCCUCUCUUGUCUCCAUCUUUUUUCCAGUCUCUCGCUUCUCUUUAUUUCUCCCCAUAUUUCACUCUGUUCUCUCACCCCAACCUUUCCCUUCUGUUUCUCUCCCUCCCUCUCUUCCCACCCCCUGCCUGGCCUUCCAUAUAUCAAGCAGAGUUUUAUCACCUUAUGCAGGGGCAGCCCUGCCACCUGCCAUAAAGUUGAUAGGCUAAUGACAUUUUGUGGAUAUUGCCAUGUCACAAGUCCAGGACAGCAUCAAAAAUAGCCCUGAUGUCUAAACCACUUCAGCUAUCUUUUUUAUUUUUAAAAUAAAUACAUUCACAUGCUUUUAAGAAACUAUAAAAAUAUAUAAAGUAAAAAGAUCUUUCUCUCACACUGUCUCCACCUCUCCUGGUCUCACCGUUGUGCUUAGGGGAAACCAUUGUGAUUAGUUUCUCCUGUGUCCUUCCAGAGUGUCUUUAUGCAAAUGAAAAUUAUUGUGAUAAUAUAUUCCUAUUUUCCCCCUUACUACACAAAAGAUAGACUACCAUAAUCCCAUUCUGCACUUUUUUUUCACUUGAUAAUAAAAACAUGAUUU
rnacentral:lncRNA from 1 species